rnacentral:rRNA from 1 species
GACGAACGCUGGCGGCGUGCUUAACACAUGCAAGUCGAACGGAAAGGCCCUGCUUUUGUGGGGUGCUCGAGUGGCGAACGGGUGAGUAACACGUGAGUAACCUGCCCUUGACUUUGGGAUAACUUCAGGAAACUGGGGCUAAUACCGGAUAGGAGCUCCUGCUGCAUGGUGGGGGUUGGAAAGUUUCGGCGGUUGGGGAUGGGCUCGCGGCUUAUCAGCUUGUUGGUGGGGUAGUGGCUUACCAAGGCUUUGACGGGUAGCCGGCCUGAGAGGGUGACCGGCCACAUUGGGACUGAGAUACGGCCCAGACUCCUACGGGAGGCAGCAGUGGGGAAUAUUGCACAAUGGGCGGAAGCCUGAUGCAGCAACGCCGCGUGCGGGAUGACGGCCUUCGGGUUGUAAACCGCUUUCGCCAGUGACGAAGCGUGAGUGACGGUAAUGGGUAAAGAAGCACCGGCUAACUACGUG